rnacentral:tRNA from 1 species
GGGGAUUUAGCUCAGUGGUAUAAGUGCCUGCCUGGCAAGCAUGAGGUUGUAACCUCAAUCCCCA